CCUUCCCCGCCCCUGUGGCGCCCGGGGACCGCCGCCGGUCUUCACUGGGAGCUUUGUUCUUUUUCUUCCAACUACCUGUCUGAGCAGCGGACCGGAGAGGGCCCCAAGAAAGCGCCGCCGCUCCCGGGGGUCUCCCCGUCCGCACCCGGGGGACGCCCUUGGGUGGGAGAGGGGACCGUUCCCCCGUCUCCGCCCCUCCUUCUCUCCUGUCGCUUCUGCUCUCGGAGACGGCUGAGCCGGUGCUGUCUCCCCCCCUCCCGUUUGGGAGUUUGCAGCGUGGCCGCGCGGCGAACACAAAAAGUGAGCAGCAGCAGUCUGAGCCACGUGGCAAGGCGGGGUAGCCUGGGGACCAGUGUGAACGCUGCUUGACCCGAGGGCUGCGGGAACACUGUGGAAGAUGCCCCGGCGGCGUGGAAACCAGCUUUCCCCUGGCAGGAAGGGAGCCUCGCUGAGAGCCCACAGCUGAAAAAAACCACCACGUUUUUGGCUUUCGCCCUGCCCAGGACUAACAGACACGGGCUGGAGAAGGAGUGAGUGUGCCCCAUGGGAAAGGCCGGCGGCUCACAGAUGGCGCACAGAUGGACAGGCUCGGGGUUCGGAGGCCACAUAAUCUUCAAGGCCACAAGGCCGUGCACCUGCUGCUUGGGCCCACAGUGGACAGCGUGAUCAGCCCUCCAAAGACCCACUUGGCGCCCUUGGCUUUCUGUCUUUAAUGUGGCACAGGGGACGCAGCCUGAAGAGCAGGAACACUGCAGUGAGUCCUCAAGGCCAGGAGUCAGGGGCCCAACCCCAGCUUAUUGCGGGGGGAGGGAAACGGAUGGUGAUGGGCGGCAGUGCAGUUGCUACCAAAAGGUCCUGGGGCACUAUUGUUCAUGAUGAAGACAUCCAAGGCAUUUCUGCUCACUCAUUCAUUCAUUUAUUUUGAAGUUGUUAAUUGAGUACUAACCCUGUACAAUUCACUGUCGCUGCUCCAGAGCUUGACAUGGUUUAAUUGGGUAAAGUAACUGCAGAGACUGUGCUGGGAAAAACCAUCAGAGGAGAGGCCCAUGGAUUGAAUUCACACAGGUGUGCAGGGGUCAAGGCUCACUACCAGGCUCACUACCAGGACCUGGUCACCUGGAAAUGGAUGUUGUUACCCAGAAAGCCCAGCACCACACCGAGUACAUCCUGAGCGCUCAACCAAUAUUUGUGCAACACAGGAACAGACCUGGAUAUCUCUUCUGAAACCAAGCACUGUAGUAUUCAUCAGUGUGUACUUUAUGAUCCCCUAAUACCAUGAGGGUUUGGACACCUUCCAUGCUCUGUCCCACCCCAGGGUGACCUUAUUUGGUAAGGCCACGAGAGCAGUGCGAUGGACAUAUCUUCAGGCAGUCACUCUGUGCAAGGCUGACUGACCCAGAUUUGCUAGCAACUACCUGGACAACAUCAUCAGAAAAAGACUGAGGUGCAGAAUGAGGGGAGUGGCAAAUUUGGUGAUUUUUUUUUUUAGCAUCACAUUGUUGCUGUGUUGCUAGCAUAAUUGUUAAGCAGUGUGGCCUGUGUGCUCAGAACACCUGAGUUCAAAUCAAAUCCUACUUGCCACCUGUGUGACCUUGAGCAGGUGAGAUAACCUUCCUGGGCCAGUUUUCCCCAUCUGUGAAAUGGGGAUAGUAAAAGUACCUAUUGUGCAGAGUUGCUGUGAAAAUUAAGGAAUUCGCUGAGUGAAAAUGGCUACAUUGAUGAUGAUUAUUAUUGCUACCACUACUAUUAUUGUUAGCAGCUACCGAGUCCACUGCUGCUUCCUGAGGGGUCUCUACGAGAAAGUGGAGGACCCUAUGAAACUCCAGGAGGUCACAUCCCCACUUUCUGGUCGGUGCAUCAACAGAGCCCAGCCUUUCCAGAGAAGUCUCUAUGUCGCAGGCCUGAGGCAGAUGGUGGCUCUGUUCACGCAGACAGGGACUUUGCUAUUUUUGUUUUCCUGAAGGGACAGGAUUUGCCCUCGCCGCAGUGCAGCGAUGUCCAGCUCCAAGGAGGAAGAACUGGCGCUGAGCAGAGGCGCUGGUGGUCAGGAGAGAAGCCUUGUCAGCUUUGUAGCUGCAUUAGAAGGGAACCGAGGAGAGAGGGAAGAGGGGAAGGGAAGGGCCAGUGUUUUCCUUCACCCACCUUUGAGGCGGUGGCCUUCCUGGCCUGCGCCCCACCUGGCUGGGCUGCCUUUCAGCACAGCCCUGCUAUGGACAUUGGCCCAUGUAACUUUAAACAAGUAUUUCACACAGAACAAGGUGACUUUGUCUUUUUUUCCUGCCUGUUCUUCCCCUCCCAUCCUGCAAGCUGGGAGGUGAGCAGGAUGCCGAGAGAAGAGCAUUGUUCUUGACCCUUUUCACAGCCCUGAGGCUGAGAAGGAAAGUGUGGGAAGGAAAACAGGAAUUAUUGUCUCCUUUGUUGUUUCUUUAAAAAUGUCAAAGCAACCCUGAAAGCAUGAUCCAGAGGACACCACAGGAUUUCUUUUUUUUACAUGAAAAUAUUUUGAAUAAAGAUCUGUUUUCUGGG